rnacentral:rRNA from 1 species
AUGGAUGGCGAAAUUGGUAUCAGAUACAAAGUUGACCUAGAGCGCAUGCUGCUUGAUGGAAGUGCAGAGCCAACAUACCUAUGGUUGUCACUUUUAGAAGACAUCACAGACUGUUUCUCUGAUGAUCAGCAAAUUGGUAGUGGUGGGUUUGCAGUGGUUUAUAAGGGAAUAGUCGGAGAACGGAUGGUUGCUGUAAAGAAGUUGUCCCAAACGCUUGAUAUGCAUGAGAAUAAAUUUCACAAAGAGGUUGAGUGCCUGAUGAAAGCCAAGCACAAGAAUAUAGUGCGUUUCCUAGGAUAUUGUUCUGACACGCAAGGGAGAAUUGCAAAUUAUGAAGGUAAGUUUGUGAUGGCAGAUCUGCGCAACUGGUUACUAUGUUUCGAGUAUGUACCAAAUGGAAGUCUCGAUAAGUAUAUUACAGAUUCAUCUGGUGGACUUGAAUGGGGUGAGCGCUACCAGAUAAUCAAGGGAAUCUGUGAGGGCUUACUUCAUCUUCACGAGAAGCAUAUCCUCCACUUAGAUCUAAAGCCAGGUAAUAUAUUGAUUGAUGAUCGGAUGGUACCCAAAAUUGCUGAUUUUGGUCUAUCAAGGUGCCUCGAUAAAGACCAAACACGAGCUUUUACGUCACACCUAUGUGGAUCGCAAGGAUAUCUGGCUCCUGAAUUCUACAGAGGACAAGUCGCAUUUGCCUCGGACAUAUACAGUCUUGGCGUUAUAAUCAUGGAGAUACUAACAGGAGAGAAGGGGUAUCCAGAAGAUGAGAAUGUAGUUGAAAAUUGGAUGAAUCGAUUGGAGACAUCAGAUCAUUUGGAGAUGCAAUUGGAACAAGUAAGAGUAUGUGCUAAGAUAGGGAUAGACUGUAUGGACUUGAACCCGAAGAAGAGACCAGUUGCCCGGUGUGUAAACGAUAGGCUUGAUAAAACAACAAGUGUCGUCAAAACUGGCAUCAGUAGUUCAUCAGUCAAACAACGGGUCAGUUUCCUAAAGGAACGAUAUUGGCCAGCGAGAAUCGCAAAGCUUUCAUCUGAGUACCUUGGAAAGGACAUCAAGCAACAUGCUAAAAGAGAUGAACUCGUGAACUAUGUUGGGACUCCUAGAGAAAAGCAUUGGCAUCAAGGUCGAGAAGAAGCUCCAGAUGAUCAAUGGUCAUUAUGUGGAGCGCAUGAUACAAAGCAAAAUAUCAUUCCACAAGGUGCAAGUAUUUCUUGCUCUAACCAUGGUGUGCUCUACAAGUUGAACAAUCUAGACAUUUUCAACACAAAAGCACGCAAGAAUUACGUGAAGUUGGGCGGUCCUAUAUUGGAAAAUAUAAAAUGUGUGAAACUUUUCAAAAGGGGGGAGCUCAAGCCAAUUUUAAAGGAUAAGAAUUUUAUUAGAAAAGAUGGCUUUGGAGAACUUUACAAGGGUCUUGUGGAUAACGUACCUAUCAUGGUAAGGAAGCUGAUUUGUGAUAAUGUGGUGGAGAAUGGAGAUUUUGCAAAUGAAGUCAUCAUGCUAUCUCGAGUCAUUCACAAAAACAUCAUUAGGCUCAUAGGUUGUUGCCUUGAAUUUGAUGCCCCGAUCCUAGUCUAUGAGUUUUUCUCCACAGUUAGCCUUCAUGAUAUUCUUCACAUCAACAUCAAACUGCCUCUCAACUUGAGUGUGCGAUAUAAUAUUGCUGCAGCAUUAGCAGAUGCUCUAGCAUAUGUGCAUUCAGUGGUUAGUACCCAAAUUUUACACUGUGAUCUUCAACCAACAAAUAUACUAUUCGAUGAUAAUCUCUUCAGUGGCAACUUUGUCCCCAAGAUCUCUGGCUUUGGCAUGUCAAGGAUGAUUGCGAGAGACAUCAUUGGUGACAUGACUUAUAUGGAUUCAAUAUACCUACAAAAAGGCUAUCUAAUAGAACAAAGUGAUGUAUAUAGUUUUGGAGUUAUCAUCUUGGAACUUCUUACUCGGAGGAAGGCUAUACAUGCUGACCAUAACAGCUUAGUGAGGAUUUUCCUCGAGAAUCACAAGAAGGGUAGGAAAUCAACAGGGCUAUUUGAUAAGGAAAUUGCACUGAAAGGAGAUUUGGGGCUUCUUGACAUGCUGGUAGAAAUUGCCGUCAAAUGUCUUGACGAUGAUGUGGUUCUAAGACCGUCAAUGGUAGAUGUCGCAAAACACCUUUCUCUACUGGAUCGAUCCCUUAAAUCGGGGGGUGCUAGGACAGCUAGUCACGAGGGUCUAGACCCGAGAAAAGCCCAUAGCCAUGGCGCCAGUGGCGAUCAAGGGCGGAGUUGCGGAACAGGAGCGCCGCGUCCCAGCAGGCGUGUCGCUUGA